CCUACGGGAGGCAGCAGUAGGGGAAUCUUGCGCAAUGGGCGAAAGCCUGACGCAGCCAUGCCGCGUGAAUGAUGAAGGUCUUAGGAUUGUAAAAUUCUUUUCACCGGGGAAGGAUAAUGACGGUACCCGGAGAAGAAGCCCCGGCUAACUUCGUGCCAGCAGCCGCGGUAAUACGAAGGGGGCUAGCGUUGCUCGGAAUUACUGGGCGUAAAGGGCGCGUAGGCGGAUAGUUUAGUCAGAGGUGAAAGCCCAGGGCUCAACCUUGGAACUGCCUUUGAUACUGGCUAUCUUGAGUUCGGGAGAGGUGAGUGGAAUGCCGAGUGUAGAGGUGAAAUUCGUAGAUAUUCGGCGGAACACCAGUGGCGAAGGCGACUCACUGGCCCGAUACUGACGCUGAGGCGCGAAAGCGUGGGGAAGCAAACAGGAUUAGAUACCCUGGUAGUCCACGCUGUAAACGAUGAGUGCUAGUUGUCGGCAUGCAUGCAUGUCGGUGACGCAGCUACGACAUAAGACGACGUCCGCCGUCGGGGAGGUACGGUCGGCGAAGAAGUUAAACGUUAACGAAAGUAAAGUUAGUUACGGACGUUGAGGACGNGCCGACGGACGACGACGAGGGAGGAGG
rnacentral:rRNA from 1 species